rnacentral:rRNA from 1 species
UACGUAGGGGGCGAGCGUUGUCCGGAAUUACUGGGCGUAAAGGGUGCGUAGGCGGCACUUUAAGUUGGAUGUGAAAUACCCGGGCUUAACUUGGGGGGUGCAUCCAAUACUGGAGAACUAGAGUGCAGGAGAGGGAAGCGGAAUUCCUAGUGUAGCGGUGAAAUGCGUAGAUAUUAGGAGGAACACCAGUGGCGAAGGCGGCUUUCUGGACUGUAACUGACGCUGAGGCACGAAAGCGUGGGGAGCAAACAGGAUUAGAUACCCUGGUAGUCCACGCUGUAAACGAUGAAUACUAGGUGUAGGGGGUAUCAACUCCCCCUGUGCCGGAGCAAACGCAAUAAGUACUCCGCCUGGGGAGUACGGCCGCAAGGUUGAA